GACGAACCGUGCAAACGUUAUUCGGAAUCACUGGGCAUAAAGGGCGCGUAGGCGGCUUGACAAGUCAGGGGUGAAAUCCGGCAGCUUAACUGUCGCAGUGCCUUUGAUACUGUCGAGCUCGAGGGAGGUAGGGGUCUGUGGAACUUCCGGUGGAGUGGUGAAAUGCGUUGAUAUCGGAAGGAACGCCGGUGGCGAAAGCGACGGACUGGAUCUCUUCUGACGCUGAGGCGCGAAAGCCAGGGGAGCAAACGGG
rnacentral:rRNA from 1 species